UAAAUACAGGUAAAAUUCUCAGGCGAUCUUAUUUAUAAUUUUAAAUCUAAAAUUUUGCACAGGCAAAACCGCGUGCAAUAGUAGUGACAUUAACGUAAUGUGAUGAAACUUACUUUUUACCUUAGACCCAACAGGGUAUUGAGCUGGCAACGUCCCAUAGGUUCACUUCACGACCUUGACGACGGUCAAUAGGAAGAGCGGCAACGUCGGUUGUAAUAUGUCAAAUCAUAAAUAAGGCUUCUAUCAAAUACUCAUAACAAUGGAGGUACACGAGUGUACUUUGUUUACCGUUGUUUACUUUUCUUGACGUAAGUGAAGACGCUAUUUCAAGAAAUUUGAAGUGCUAAUUCAUUAAAAUAUGUACGCUUUCAUGACUGUGCCUCAACUUAAAGUUGAGGUUCGUAAAAGAAAUGCGUCAAUUGCCGGAAAAAAAGGCUAAUUUGAUAGAAAGAUUGCAAUCUAAUGACCGGAAUAAAAAUUUUGGUGUUGACUGCGAGAUCCAAGAGGAGAUCGCAUAUCUGAGUCCAGCCACUGAUACUUUCAGAGACAUAAUUGCGGACACUUCUUUACCAAUGAUUACGAGACAAGCAAUACAGGAAUAUUUUGAAAGUUAUGUACCCAUAUGUAAUGAUUAUAAUCUUAGGCAGUUGUUUACAAAGAUGACAGUGUAAAUUUUAUGUAUUUAAAUUGAUAUAAUACUCAGCAUAAAGGACAACUCCUGUACGAAUUUCGACAUCUUGUGACUGCCCGCUAUUCCACAGAUGGCAUUUAUACCCACUUGCGAGGACAAUGUAAAGCCAGUAUGAAAAAAAUGGUAUACUUUGUGGAUAUAAAAUUAAGUAAAGAUGGAGUAAUUGAAGAAUGCCAUUGCGAUUGUGCUGCAGGCAGUGGUACUCAAGCAUGUUGCAAACAUGUCUCUGUAUUGUUGGAUGGUACACAAAAAAAAUAUUAAAUUGCAUCUGUCAAGUACUCAAAAAUUAAUGACAUUCAAUAGACCCAAGAAAGUAUUUUAUAAUUCACCCAUUGCAGUUCAAAAUUUACCCAACAAGAGAUUGACAUCUUGUACUUAUAACACACUAAAAGAUACUUACUGAUAUUAUGGACAGUUAUGCUGAUUAUGUGAAAAUUUUAGUAAUGGGAUAUGAUGAAAGCUCAAUACCUUUAUUACAGACAUGUGAACCCGCAAAUCCACAUGGCAUUGAAUGGGAUCGUUACACCUAUGUAGAUAGGACUCCAAUAGAUAUUUUACUAGAGAAGCUAUUAUUAAAAAUAUUAUAUCUGAACAAAUUCAGGAAGUGAGAAGAAUACAAGAGCCCAAAGUGAUUCCUCUGAGUGGCAUGAAAGAUCAUGCAGGAUUACUGCCAGUAUGUUUCAUUUAGUGUGCCACAGUAAAGCAUAUAAGUACCAAAAAUAUAUGUAAUCGAUAUGAUUUUGGCCCCUAAAGCUGUGCAGACUAUGUUAGUUGUGCAUAGUAAAAUCCAAGAAACUAUUUCCAUUGCCAAAUAUGAUAGAGAUUAUGGACUAAAAAUAAAAAAGUGGAUUCAUUAUAUCAUUUGAAUAUCCUUUUCUGGCUGUUUCUCCAGACGGUAUAUUGGGUAAAGAUACUAUUGUUGAGGUUAAGUGUCCAUAUGCUGCUAGAUAUUAUAAAAUAACCUCUGUGACUGUGCCUUACUUAAAAAUACUUAAUGGAGAAUUACAUUUAAAAAGCAGCAUCCAUAUUAUGCCCAAAUCCAAGGCCAACUUUAUUGUUCGGGGGACGCAAUAUUGCAAUUUUAUUGUUUACACAUUUGAGGAUAUGAAAAUAAUAUUCAUUAAUAGAGAUGACUCAUUUAUUAAUGGCAUGUUGACAAAUUUGUUAAACUUUUAUGUACAUAAUUUAGAACCAGAAAUGUAAAUAAGUAUGUGUAUAAGAACUAUUUACAAUUAAUAAAUAAAUUGAAA